GUGGACUAAAAAAGUACCUCAAACUGCAGCCUGGUUUUUCUUAUGAAAGUUUCAUUAAAGAAGAAUUUGUGCCAGCAGGUUCUUCUACUCUAAAUUCUUCACUUUUCUGAAGUGAUAUGGAGAGGUCCUCUUCAAACAAGGGGCAUCAAUCUCCUGGUGCAGGAGAGAACACCUCUGCCAUAGGGGAUGCAGCAGAAAAGGCCAAAUGGAUGGUCCAGGAGGUUCUGGAGAAGAGUUCAGGGGGAGAGGAAACAAUGGAGGAGUAUAAGAGAUUGAGCACCGUGACACACUGCACAAGACGGCAUCAU